rnacentral:rRNA from 1 species
UAAGGAAUAUUGGUCAAUGGACGGAAGUCUGAACCAGCCAUCCCGCGUGCAGGAUGAAGGUCCUAUGGAUUGUAAACUGCUUUUAGCAGAGACGAAAUGUUGUCAUUUAUGAUGAUUUGACGGUAUCUGCAGAAUAAGCACCGGCUAACUCCGUGCCAGCAGCCGCGGUAAUACGGAGGGUGCAAGCGUUAUCCGGAAUCACUGGGUUUAAAGGGUGCGUAGGCGGAAUAUUAAGUCAGUGGUGAAAGCCUGUCGCUUAACGAUAGAACAGCCAUUGAUACUGAUAUUCUUGAAUUGGGUUGAGGUUAGCGGAAUGUGACAUGUAGCGGUGAAAUGCAUAGAUAUGUCAUGGAACACCAAUUGCGAAGGCAGCUAGCUAGGCCUUGAUUGACGCUGAGGC